GUGUCAGCAGCCGCGGUAAUACGAGGGGGGCGAGCGUUGUUCGGAAUUAUUGGGCGUAAAGGGUGCGUAGGCGGUUUGGUAAGUCUUUUGUGAAAUCUCUGGGCUCAACUCAGAGUCUGCAGGAGAAACUGCCGGGCUGGAGUGUGGGAGAGGUGAGUGGAAUUUCCGGUGUAGCGGUGAAAUGCGUAGAUAUCGGAAGGAACACCUGUGGCGAAAGCGGCUCACUGGACCACAACUGACGCUGAUGCACGAAAGCUAGGGGAGCAAACAGGAUUAGAUACCCUGGUAGUCC
rnacentral:rRNA from 1 species